CCCUUAGAUGUUCUGGGCAGCACGCGCGCUACAAUGGUCUUCGCAAACGGAUGCAUUCUCGAAGGAGAAUGCCAAUCUUGGAAUCUAUGCCUUGGUCGGGACAGUUGCUUGCAAUUUUUCGACUCGAACCAGGAAUUCCUUGUAAUCGUGAUUCAUCACAUCACGAUGAAUACGUCCCUGCCCUUUGUACACACCGCCCGUCGCUCCUACCGAUCGAAGAGUUAGGUGAAUUGUUUUGAUCGAUAAGAUUUGACUAUGGUCAACUCUCGUUGGGAAAUUCUGUGAAUCUGACUGUUUAGAGGAAGGAGAAGUCGUAACA
rnacentral:rRNA from 1 species